AAUCAACGCUGGCGGCGUGCCUAACACAUGCAAGUCGAACGCGAAAGCCCCGCAAGGGGUAAGUAGAGUGGCAAACGGGUGAGUAACACGUGGGUGACCUGCCUUCGAGUGGGGGAUAACGUCCCGAAAGGGACGCUAAUACCGCAUGACAUCCUGCUUUUGAAAAAGCGGAGAUCAAAGCUGGGGAGCGCAAGACCUAGCGCUUGAAGAGGGGCCCGCGCCUGAUUAGCUAGUUGGUGAGGUCACGGCUCACCAAGGCGACGAUCAGUAUCCGGCCUGAGAGGGCGGACGGACACACUGGGACUGAGGCACGGCCCAGACUCCUACGGGGGGCAGCAGUGGGGGAUUGUUCGCAAUGGGCGCAAGCCUGACGACGCAACGCCGCGUGGAGGACGAAGGUCUUCGGGUCGUAAACUCCUGUCGAGCGGGACGAACGCUUCGCGGAUGAAUAAUCCGCGGAAUUGACGGUACCGCUAAAGGAAGCCCCGGCUAACUCCGUG
rnacentral:rRNA from 1 species